ensembl:ncRNA C54G7.11 ncRNA
GAGGUUUGAAAGCUACUUUUCAUUAAGUAGAUGAAGGGGGUUGAAUUCCAGUAAAUACAUACACGUGAAAGACAUGGGUAACAUGAUAUUUAGAAAAAAAGUGAAUAAAUAAGAGAAAUAUUUGGAAAAUACGAAAAUAAUAUUAAUAGUAAUAAUAAUAAUAUGAGUUAGACUAUACCACCGGCUGGGUUUUCCAGCCACGGAUA